rnacentral:rRNA from 1 species
AGGAUGAACGCUGGCGGUGUGCCUAAUACAUGCAAGUCGAGCGGCAACACGGUCUUCGGACUGGUGGCGAGCGGCGGACGGCUGAGUAACGCGUGGGAACGUACCCCAAAGUGAGGGAUAAGCACCAGAAAUGGUGUCUAAUACCGCAUAUGCUCUAAGGAGUAAAGCUUCGGCGCUUUGGGAACGGCCUGCGUCUGAUUAGCUUGUUGGUGAGGUAAUAGCUCACCAAGGCGACGAUCGGUAGCUGGUCUGAGAGGAUGACCAGCCAGACUGGGACUGAGAACGGCCCAGACUCCUACGGGAGGCAGCAGUAGGGAAUUUUCCACAAUGGGCGAAAGCCUGAUGGAGCAACACCGCGUGCAGGAUGAAGGCCUUCGGGUCGUAAACUGCUUUUAUGUAUGACGAUUAUGACGGUAGUACAUGAAUAAGGAUCGGCUAACUCCGUGCCAGCAGCC